UACCUGGUUGAUCCUGCCAGUAGUCAUAUGCUUGUCUCAAAGAUUAAGCCAUGCAAGUCUAAGUACGAGCUCUCGUACAGUGAAACUGCGAAUGGCUCAUUAAAUCAGUUAUGGUUCAUUUGAUCGUACAGUUUACUUGGAUAACUGUGGUAAUUCUAGAGCUAAUACAUGCGAGAAGCGCCGACCUCGCGGGAGGCGUGCAUUUAUCAGACCAAAAACCGGCCGCGUCUUCGGGCGCGUUCGCCUUGGUGACUCUGGAUAACUUUGCGGAUCGCACGGUCUAGCACCGGCGACGGAUCAUUCAAGUGUCUGCCCUAUCAACUUUCGUCGGUACGGUAUUUGCCUACCGAGGUUCUUACGGGUGACGGGGAAUCAGGGUUCGAUUCCGGAGAGGGAGCCUGAGAAACGGCUACCACAUCCAAGGAAGGCAGCAGGCGCACAAAUUACCCAUUCCCGACGCGGGGAGGUAGUGACGAAAAAUAACAAUGCAGGACUCGUUCGAGGCCCUGUAAUUGGAAUGAGUACACUUUAAAAGCUUUAACGAGUAUCCAUUGGAGGGCAAGUCUGGUGCCAGCAGCCGCGGUAAUUCCAGCUCCAAAAGUAUAUAUUUAAGUUGUUGCGG
rnacentral:ncRNA from 1 species